rnacentral:rRNA from 1 species
AAAACGACUCUCGGCAACGGAUAUCUCGGCUCUCGCAUCGAUGAAGAACGUAGCGAAAUGCGAUACUUGGUGUGAAUUGCAGAACCCCGUGAACCAUCGAGUCUUUGAACGCAAGUUGCGCCCCAAGCCUUCUGGCCGAGGGCACGUCUGCCUGGGUGUCACAA